GCACAAGCGGUGGAGCAUGUGGUUUAAUUCGACGCAACGCGAAGAACCUUACCAGGGCUUGACAUCCCCUGACCGCGUAUGAAAGUACGUUUUCACCCUCGGGUGACAGGGAGACAGGUGGUGCAUGGUUGUCGUCAGCUCGUGUCGUGAGAUGUUGGGUUAAGUCCCGCAACGAGCGCAACCCCUACGUUUAGUUGCUAACGCGUGAAGGCGAGCACUCUAGACGAACUGCCGUUGACAAAACGGAGGAAGGUGGGAUGACGUCAAAUCAUCAUGCCCCUUAUGUUCUGGGCUACACACGUGCUACAAUGGCCGGUACAGACGGACGCAAAGCCGCGAGGUGGAGCAAAUCCUAAAAAGCCGGUCUCAGUUCGGAUUGCAGGCUGCAAUUCGCCUGCAUGAAGUCGGAAUCGCUAGUAAUCGCAGGCCAGCAUACUGCGGUGAAUACGUUCCCGGGCCUU
rnacentral:rRNA from 1 species